GUCUCUGGAGUCCAUGGGGUUCAUGGAGUCCAUGCGGUCUUUGGGGUCCAUGGGGUUUGUGAGGUCCAUGGGGUCUGCAGGAUCAAUGGGAGUCUCUGGAUUCCAUGGAGUCUGUGGGAUCCAUGGGGUCUGUGGGGUCCAUGAGGUCCAUGAAGUCCCUGGGGUCUGCAGAGUCUAUGGGACCCAUAGGGUCUAUGGCGUCCAUGCGGUCUCUGGGAUCACUGGAGGUCUCUGGAGUCCAUGGGGCCCAUAAGGUCCAUGGGGUCUGUGAGGUCUGUGGAGUCCAUGGGGUCCGUGGAGUCUGCAGGAUUAAUGGGGGUCUCUGGAGUCCAUGCGGUCUUUGGGGUCCAUGGGGUUUGUGAGGUCCAUGGGGUCUGCAGGACCAAUGGGAGUCUCUGGAGUCCAUGUGUCCGUGGGGUCCAUGGGGUCUGUGGGGUCCAUGAGGUCCAUGGAGUCCAUGGGGUCUGGAGAGUCUAUGGGAUCCAUAGGGUCUGUGGGGUCUAUGGGAUCGAUGGGGGUCUCUGGAGUCCAUGGGGUCCAUGGGGUCUGUGGGGUCCAUGGGAUCUGUGGGAUCGAUGGGGUCUCUGGAGUCCAUGAGGUCCAUGGAGUCUGUGGGAUCUUUGGAGUCUGUGGUGUCCAUGGAGGUUGUGGAGUCUCUGGAGUCCAUGGGGUCCGUGGGGUCUGUGGGGUCUCCGGUGUCCAUGGGGCUCACGGGUUGGCUCCAGGAGCACUGUGCCCCAUUGUGACAGUGACAUCCAGGGUGGUGGCGGUGGCUUGGGGACACAGCGGUUCCCCGUGGGGGCCUUCGCUGUCCUCCUCUUCCUCCUCCAUGGGGGCCACGUGUGGGGUCCCUCUGCUCUAAGGCACUGCCCAUGGGGUGGCACGACCCCACGGCCCCCACAGUCCCCACGUGGGCGCAGUGAGAUCCUCCGUGGGACGGGGACACCGCUGGGUCCUCGACUUGCGUGUGCCGUGAGGGUGCUCCGGGGCCGGCGUGCAAUGCUCUGCCGUCAGUCUGCAAUGCUUUGGUGCCAGCGUGCAACGCUCUGGUUCCAGUUUGCAACGCUCUGGUUCCAGUUUGCAACGCUCUGGUUCCAGUUUGCAACGCUCUGGUUCCAGUUUGCAACGCUCUGGUUCCAGUUUGCAGUGCACUGGUGCCAGGUUGCAAUGCCCUGGUGCUGGAGUGCAAUGCUCUCGGGUCACUAUGUGAUGCUUUGGCGCCAGCAAGUGACGCCUGGGUGUUGCUCUGCAAUGCUCCAGUACCAGCAAGAGAUGCUCCAGUGCUGGUGUGUGAUGCUCCAGCCAGCUCCAAGCACAGCGACGCUCCACUGCUGGCAUGCAACGCGUGUCACUGGUGUGCAACGCUCUGUUUGCUUGGUGGCAGCGUGCAACGCUCUGGUGCAGCUGUGCAAUGCUCCAGUGCUGGAAAACGGAUGCUCCAUUCUGGCAUGCAAUGCUCUGCGCCAGCGUGCAACAACGUGCAAUGCUCCAAAGCUGGUGUGUGAUUGCACCAGUGCUGGCGUGCAAUGCUCGGUGCAGCUGUGCA
rnacentral:lncRNA from 1 species